rnacentral:rRNA from 1 species
CCAAACCAACAAGCUUGCUUGUUGGGGUUGUAGGACACUCUAUACGGAGUUACAAAGGACGACAUUAGACGAAUCAUCUGGAAAGAUGAAUCAAAGAAGGUAAUAAUCCUGUAGUCGAAAAUGUUGUCUCUCUUGAGUGGAUCCUGAGUACGACGGAGCACGUGAAAUUCCGUCGGAAUCUGGGAGGACCAUCUCCUAAGGCUAAAUACUCUCUAGUGACCGAUAGUGAACCAGUACCGUGAGGGAAAGGUGAAAAGCACCCCGGAAGGGGAGUGAAAUAGAACCUGAAACCGUGUGCUUACAAGUAGUCAGAGCCCGUUAAUGGGUGAUGGCGUGCCUUUUGUAGAAUGAACCGGCGAGUUACGAUUUGAUGCAAGGUUAAGCAGUAAAUGUGGAGCCGUAGCGAAAGCGAGUCUGAAUAGGGCGUUUAGUAUUUGGUCGUA